UGGGACUACAGGCGCCCACCACCACGCCUGGCUAAUUUUUUGUAUUAAGAGACGGGGUUUCACCGUGUUAGCCAGGAUGGUCUCGAUCUCCUGACCUCGUGAUCCGCCCGCCUCGGCCUCCCAUAGUGCUGGGAUUACCGGCGUGAGCCACCGCGCCCUGCCGUAAGGUUUGCUUUUCAAUGGAUCUUUGGGAAGUUUUAAAACAUACAUGCUCAACCUUUAGAAAUUACUCUAGGGGAAAUUCCUUCUCCACAUCCUCUAGGUGUGCUUCCUUCCUCCUCUCAACACACUUCACUAUCAAAACCUACAUUACUUCCAACAAUCGACCCUCGAGGGAAUAAGUCCCUGGUCCCCACGAUCGUGACCAGCCAGUCCACACUGCCGACCCCAGAAAUGCAGUCUCAAGUGCUCGGUCAGCGAGAAGAAAGGCGGGCGAGGUCCUUGUCCUGCAGGCCACAGAGAAGACAAAAACCUCCAGUUACUGGCCUCAGGUGUAAGGCUGCUCCGCAUUGGCAGUGCGGGACCAUUCCUAUCAUUAUUACGUAGUCUUGUUUCCUUCUGGGAGAAAGAACCUGGGGAGAGUUGGACUGGCUCCUCCGGGCGGUCCGGGACGCGCGUCCUCUGUAACGCCGCAGCCUGCGCCAGCGUCCGACAGGGACGUCUCAUCGAGGCCCGACUCGCAUUUUUAGUUGUCAGAUUCGCCACUUUUUGGCGUCAGAAUUUAAAAGAAAAAUUCCGUUUCUCUAUUUCAGAAGCUCUUUCUGUACAGAAAAACAGAAGCAGGAGAUACUUCAGGCUUUUGAAUUAUUUUUCUCUUCUGGCGUCCACAGUAUCUACAUCCAGUGAGCGGGGACCGUGAGUCGAAAACGACGACGUGGAUGCUCAGGCCACAGUUCCCGGCGCGCAGUCGCAGCUGCCCCUCGCUCCCGCCCCCGCCUGGAGUCCGACGUGGAAGUUGCUGGCUGAGUGGGCUUGCGAGGAAACCGCCUCGGAGCUGCAGCCGAAGGCCAAGGAAUCACUGAAGAUCGGCGAGGGAGGACAGGCGGUUCAUCAUGGGUGGCUUUUUCUCAAGUAUAUUUUCCAGUCUGUUUGGAACUCGGGAAAUGAGGAUUUUAAUUUUGGGAUUAGAUGGAGCAGGAAAAACCACAAUUUUGUACAGAUUACAAGUUGGAGAAGUUGUUACUACUAUACCUACCAUUGGAUUUAAUGUAGAGACGGUGACAUACAAAAACCUUAAAUUCCAAGUCUGGGAUUUAGGAGGACAGACAAGUAUCAGGCCAUACUGGAGAUGUUACUAUGUCAACACAGACCUGCAGUCCCAUUUAUGUAGUAGACAGUUGUGACCGAGACCGAAUGGCAUUUGCCCAAAUCGGACAGUAAGUUUGCCAUGUUGGAGGAAGAAGAGCUGAGAAAAGCCAUUUUAGUGGUGUUUGCAAAUAAACAGGACAUGGAACAGGCCAUGACUUCCUCAGAGAUGGCAAAUUCACUUGGGUUACCUGCCUUGAAGGACCGAAAAUGGCAAAUAUUCAAAACAUCAGCAACCAAAGGCACUGGCCUUGAUGAGGCAAUGGAAUGGUUAGUUGAAACAUUAAAAAGCAGACAGUAAUUCAGUCCGUUCUUCUCCCCUGAAACGAAGACUACAUCACCCUUUGGAAACAGACAAGUGUACUUCACACUACUAGAUGUUAAAACUAUAUGAUUGUUGGCAUAUACUGACUGACUGCAAUGUUUGUGGUAAAUAGGGAAAAGAAAUAUUUGGUUGGAGGGAUAAUUCGAUCGAAUCACCUCAAUGUUCUAUGUAAUGUAAAAUAUUCUUUUCUUGCUUUCUUGUGUUAAGGUAUAUAUUCUAUUUGUAUGGAAUUCUUAUUCAAAUACAGUUCUAUUAAAGAAUGUACUCCUAUUGGAUGAAAAAACCUAUUUUUGAAUAGUAGUUGCAGCUUGUUUGUAUAAAUACUAAAAAAUAUCUUAACAGAUUUUUUCCCCCUUAAAAUGAAUUAUCUUUCCAAAGAUUAGACUCAGUAGAGUAGGUGAGGAACAUAGUGUGUAUAAUAUAAUCUUUAUUUGCUUAUCUGACCACUUUUUAUUAAGCUGUUUUGUUUAAAAGCUUUUGGUUCUAGGCAUGAAUAUUAUUUUGAUGGUUAACUUCAUUGACUUAUCUGCAAUUGUCAUUUUAUAGUACUUUACAGUUGUCAAAAAAAAAUCUUAUGUCGACUUAGCUGAUCUGUACAGGAAGCUUGUGAAGUAGGUAGGACAGGUUAUGAUGUCUUCACUGUAUGGACAUGGACCCAGGUUGGCUUGCCCAAGGUCACCUGCUAGCUAGUAAGGUGGGAAUAAGGCUCAAAGUAAAACUUUUGGUUCAGAAGCCUGACUUAUAAACUAUACUAUAUAUUCCCAAAAAUGUCAGUAUUGACAACACAGUCUAACUCUUUAAUAAAAUUAUGCUAAUUAAAGCAGUUACAUUCAAAAUAAUGUCUAUAAACUUAUUUGUCUAUACUAGUAGAAGUGAUCAGUGACAUACUAUAAAUAAUCCUAAAUGGUUAUAUUUGAUGGAAUUCAUAACACAUUAAAGAGAAAAUUUCACAUUAAAGGAAAGGAAGGUUUAAAAAUCUA